GGAACUGAGACCUCAUGCUGCAGCCUGCUGUGAAUGGAAAGCUGCACUGUGAAGGGGCUAACCUUGAAUGCAGUUUACUGACCAAGUGAAAGCAGGUGAAAACAGGGAUGAAGCAGCACAAACUACAGAAGUUGCAGGUAAGAAGAUAUCUCCUAUCUUAUCCUCUACAAGGCAUUUAACACUUUGACCCUAAGCAGUUAUUCUAGACCCUGGGGCCGAAUUCCUGGCAUUCAUUUCUUAGCCUCUCCCCAGGAGCCAUGAAACAGAACAAUGGAUGAUAUAGGGAUAUAGUCUCCUCUCGACGCACAGGAAGAUACAACAGUACAUCAGGCAUAUGGAGAACUAUGCUAGUAAAUCAUAUCUGAAAGUCCCUAUACUAAAACUAGCCAGCAGAAGGCUAAUACUGUAGUAUCCAUGAGGUUGAAGUAUAAGUGAGCAUUCCCAGAAGCCCAGCUUUUUACUACCGUCUCCAAGCAAGGCAUAAG